UGCAAGCGUUAUCCGGGUAAUUACUGGUGCUGUAAUAGCGUCUUGCAGGUGGCUUUAUAAGUCUGCUGUUAAAUAUUAGAGCUCAACUCUGAGUAAGCAGUGGAAACUGUUAGGCUAGAGUAUGGUAUGGGUAAAGGGAACUCCCAGUGUAUGCCGGUGAUAAUGCGUAGAUAUUGGGAAGAACACCAGUAGCGUAAAGCGCUUUACUAGACCAUUACUGACAUCUCAGAGACGUAAAGCUAGGGGUAGCAAAUGGGAUUAGAUACCCCAGUAGUCGUAGCCGUAAACGAUGGAUACUAGAUGUUGCGUGUAUCGACCCAUGCAGUAUCGUAGCUAACGCGUUAAGUAUCCCGCCUGGGAAGUAUGCUCGUCAAGAGUGAAACUCAAAUGAAUUGACGG
rnacentral:rRNA from 1 species